UACGUAGGGGGCAAGCGUUGUCCGGAAUCAUUGGGCGUAAAGCGCGUGUAGGCGGCUUGGUAAGUCUGCUCUGAAAGCCCGGGGCUCAACCCCGGGAGGCGGGUGGAUACUGUCAAGCUCGAGUCCGGAAGAGGAGUGUGGAACUCCUGGUGUAGCGGUGAAAUGCGUAGAUAUCCGGAAGAACACCGAUGGCGAAGGCAACCACCUGGGCCUGCAUUGACGCUGAGGUACGAAAGCGUGGGGAGCAAACAGG
rnacentral:rRNA from 1 species